GACGAACCGUGCGAACGUUGUUCGGAAUCACUGGGCUUAAAGGGCGCGUAGGCGGGUCGAAAAGUCCGUGGUGAAAUCCCCCCGCUCAACGGGGGAACGGCCGCGGAUACUGUCGGCCUCGAGGGGGGUAGGGGCGAGCGGAACGCUGGGUGGAGCGGUGAAAUGCGUAGAUAUCUGGAGGAACACCGGUGGCGAAGGCGGCAUUCUGGACCGACAUUGACGCUGAGGAGCGAAAGCCAGGGGAGCAAACGGG
rnacentral:rRNA from 1 species